GACGAACGCUGGCGGCGUGCUUAACACAUGCAAGUCGAACGGAAAGGCCCUUUCGGGGGUACUCGAGUGGCGAACGGGUGAGUAACACGUGGGUGAUCUGCCCUGCACUUCGGGAUAAGCUUGGGAAACUGGGUCUAAUACCGGAUAGGACUCUUGGCUGCAUGGUUGGGAGUGGAAAGCUUUUGCGGUGUGGGAUGGGCCCGCGGCCUAUCAGCUUGUUGGUGGGGUGAUGGCCUACCAAGGCGACGACGGGUAGCCGGCCUGAGAGGGUGUCCGG
rnacentral:rRNA from 1 species